rnacentral:lncRNA from 1 species
ACUUCUCAUCUCAUUUUUGAUAGAGUGGGUUAGGGAUGAGGUAGAGGUAUGGAAAGAAAAGAGGAUAGUUAUAAGUGACUAAUAAAUGUUUGUUGCCAAGGACCACCACAGAAUCCUCAUUAUUUGGAAGCUCCUUUAUGGAAUAUGCUUUGAAAUUUAGGGUGUUCUACAACUACCCCACCACACAGGGCUAGUCCCUGGAAUUAUGAGACAAAGAAAAAAGAGAACGAGAAGGAGAAAAUGUUCUAUCUUACUUCAACAGGCUCCGUUUUAUUGCA